rnacentral:rRNA from 1 species
AUUGAACGCUGGCGGCAUGCCUUACACAUGCAAGUCGAACGGUAACGGGCCUUCGGGUGCCGACGAGUGGCGAACGGGUGAGUAAUGUAUCGGAACGUACCUUUCAGUGGGGGAUAACGUAGCGAAAGUUACGCUAAUACCGCAUAUUCUGUGAGCAGGAAAGCAGGGGAUCGCAAGACCUUGCGCUGAUUGAGCGGCCGAUAUCAGAUUAGCUAGUUGGUGAGGUAAAGGCUCACCAAGGCGACGAUCUGUAGCGGGUCUGAGAGGAUGAUCCGCCACACUGGAACUGAGACACGGUCCAGACUCCUACGGGAGGCAGCAGUGGGGAAUUUUGGACCAUGGGGGCAACCCUGAUCCAGCCAUGCCGCGUGAGUGAAGAAGGCCUUCGGGUUGUAAAGCCCUUUCGGCCGGGAAGAAAUCGUAUCAGCUAAUACCUGGUGCGGAUGACGGUACCGGCAUAAGAAGCACCGGCUAACUACGUGCCAGCCGCCGCGGUAAAAC